rnacentral:tRNA from 1 species
GGCCGCUUGGCUCAAUGGUAGAGCGUCCGCCUCCUAAGCGGAAGGUUGUGGGUUCGAGUCCCAUGGUGGUCG